GGGAGUUUCAUAGUGUUCUAAAUUGGUUAUCUACCACAAGACAAAAUGUUCGUAUUUUAAUCCUUCACUUAUUAAAUACAGACGAUGAAAAGCAGUAUUUCAAUUUAAAACCAAUAGUCAUUCACAUUUCAUUUAGCGGAGAAGAGGCAUUUUUCAUUUUCCUUCCCACAGGAGAAUGAGCUAAGUUCAUAGAAUGGAAUUCAGAAUUGAACCCAUUAAGACUUAUGAUUUAUCCUGUGAGAGUAGUCAUAUACAACGCUCGGUACCUUUAUCAUCUACUCCAAAUUAACUAGUCUUCUGGUGAGACACACUAUGUCACAAAUUUUCCUGCAGAUGAUAGAAUUCACUGAUUCACCGCUGAUUGGUAGCCCAUAAAAGUGCCAUUAAGUUGUCAAAAUUAAUAAACUCCAACCCUUGACGACCAAAAACAAGGGCUCCACUGAUCAGAUGGUUCAAGGUAGACUAUCCUAUUACUAAGAUUAUGGUCGGAUAAGUUGAUCUUUUUCCUAUUUUCGGCAACCAAAUAACAACAAAUGCGUGAGGUGAAGGGGAAAUCUAUGGAGACAGCUUAAGUAUUUUGGCCGCUCAAAUCUGCUCGGAGCCUGGGUGGGAUUGUUCGCAGCUCUUGCAUUCAACUUCAUAUAUAUAAUUGUACCUCCAACAUAUCCCCUUGUAUUAAUUAAAGAGGUCAAUAUUUGCGAUAUCUUGCCCAAAACCCUUUUUUCCCGGCAGAAUCCUUCUCUGACAGGGACUUACUCCAUUUGGACCCAAAUGAAAAGUGUCGUCUCAAGAACGGUUUGGCAGAGGAGCUUGCUGCAUUGGAACUAGUCUCCAUCUUUGGAGCUCCUUCCCAUAUGGCAUUUUUUUGGUAGUCAAAAUCAUCAGAAUCACUGUCAAGAUAACUAUCUAUAACACGGCUUCUUGAAAUUUUAUGGCUUCUAGACUUCAAUUCUGCUUCAGCUCUUAAAGCCUUUUUGGUCAUCUUUGAGACUUGCUUCUCUCCUCCCAUGCAUAUUGGGCAAGCUGGGUCAUACCUAUCAACUUCCAGUGUCAUGGUCUCCAAACACUCAGCAUGGUACACAUGACCACAUACCAGCACAGCAACAACCGAGAGUUCAUUGCUGGCAAGAAUUCUCUGGCUGCUCCAAGAAGAUCUCUCUGUCAAGAACUUCGAACAAGCCCCACAAGUUUGAAGAUCUAAGGAGGGAGAACAUGAAAACCUGCUACUGCAUCCACUCACUUUGCUCAAACCAUAGCCCAGGUGCUCACUGUCAAAAGACCACCUCUCCCUUUGUGAAGAAGCCACAAGCUCAGAAAAGGUUCGCAUGGACCAACCAUCAGAAGAACCACCAUGUGAUCCCAUUGCUAAGUCGUGGCUACAAGUGGAGAGCACAAAUGAUGACCUACCUUCAGAUAAGGAGUAAUUAUUAGGCGACUUCAAUCCCAUAAUUCGACUAUCAGAAAUCUGCCUUAAUAGCCGAUGCCCAGGUGAAUGCCUAGCCCGUCUUGAGGGGGUCGAGUUUGGAGGAAGUGGAUGACCACAGGUGGGCAAAGGAUCAGCAUUCGGUGUUGAAAAUGAUGAAUGUACAGAAAAUGAAAGCUUUGAGGCAGGUAGCUCUGCAAUAUCAGGAGAUUCUGCUGAGUUCUUCCCAUGUACAGGGUCAUUGCUUUCCAUUAAUAGGCCUGAACGUUGAGCAAUUGGAUUUGCUACCAUUCCUUCAUGUACUGGAGACUUUAUAGAGACGGGUGUUCCAAAACUCUCAUGCAGACUAACCUCAUCAGAAAGAUUACCCCUAUCAGAGCCUAAUGGCCCCUUCACCUCCACACUAACAUCUCUGCUGAAUCCAUGAGAAGUUUGAUAUGGUGAAUCAUCAAUUUCACCAGCCACACGCCUUCGAUUUUCCCAAUGGAAGCUCCAUGUUGGAGAGCAUCUGACAUUCCUAUGCAAAGUGUUACCUCCAGUUCUGUUGGGCAGGUCCUUUUCUCUUGCAGCAAUACAGCAAGCUGACCCCAUAGUCAGUCAAAUAGAACA
rnacentral:misc_RNA from 1 species